GCCAGACUCCUACGGGAGGCAGCAGUGGGGAAUAUUGCACAAUGGGGGAAACCCUGAUGCAGCGACGCCGCGUGAGCGAUGAAGUAUUUCGGUAUGUAAAGCUCUAUCAGCAGGAACGAGACAAGACGGUACCUGACUAAGAAGCCCCGGCUAACUACGUGCCAGCAGCCGCGGUAAUACGUAGGGGGCAAGCGUUAUCCGGAAUCACUGGGUGUAAAGGGAGCGUAGACGGCUGUGCAAGCCUGAAGUGAAAGGCGGGGGCCCAACCCCUGGACUGCUUUGGGAACUGUACGGCUGGAGUGCAGGAGAGGUAAGUGGAAUUCCUAGUGUAGCGGUGAAAUGCGUAGAUAUUAGGAGGAACACCAGUGGCGAAGGCGGUUUACUGGACUGUAACUGACGUUGAGGCUCGAAAGCGUGGGGAGCAAACAGGAUUAGAUACCCUUGUACC
rnacentral:rRNA from 1 species